AAGUCGUAACAAGGUUUCCGUAGGUGAACCUGCGGAAGGAUCAUUACCGAACCGUCAAACACGGGUUGUCGCUGGCCCUCAAACGGGGGCAUGUGCACGCUCUGUUUACACAUCCACUUCACACCUGUGCACCCUCUGUAGUCCCAUGGUCCCGGGGGGCCUGUCCUCCCUCUGUGGUUCUACGUUUUUACACACACGCCGUAACGAUGUCUUGUGGAAUGCUUUCUGCGUUUAACGCGAUACAAUACAACUUUCAGCAACGGAUCUCUUGGCUCUCGCAUCGAUGAAGAACGCAGCGAAAUGCGAUAAGUAAUGUGAAUUGCAGAAUUCAGUGAAUCAUCGAAUCUUUGAACGCACCUUGCGCCCCUUGGCCAUUCCUUGGGGCAUGCCUGUUUGAGUAUCAUGAACACCUCAACUCUCAUGGUUCGCCAUGAAGAGCUUGGAUCCCUGGGGGUUUGCCGGCCACGUGGUCGGCUCCCCUCAAACGAAUCAGCUUGCCGGUGUCUGGUGGCGUCAUGGGUGUGAUAACCAUCUACGCUCGUGGCCGUCUCCCAGGUAACCUCCCUCGCUGGGGGUUCGCUGGAGCUUAUAAACGUCUCUCCUUAGCGGGGACACCUUUUGAACGUUCGAUCUCAAAUCAGGUAGGACUACCCGCUGAACUUAA
rnacentral:rRNA from 1 species